CCAAGGCUGAGAUGAAGGGGAGAAACAGCACCACAUUCCUCCAAAACUGUCGAAGCUCGUGACUGAGCUGAAGGAAUUUGACUGGCACAUGUUGGGGCAGCGCCUGUCAGCGGGGAAUGUUGAGUGGGAGGUGUAGGACGGAGUCGCUACAUCCUCCUGGAGGGGGCUCCUCCUUCCUCACUGACAGGUGAGCCAGUAGGGUGCAACAGCAGUGGGAGAAAAGUUCUGUUUUUUCAUUUCAUCAUUAAAUGCACUUUAUACAUUAGCAAAAAGGAAAUGAAUGCACUUUUAUGGAAAAAAAUAAAUACAUUUUGUUCAAUUUCUA